rnacentral:rRNA from 1 species
UUCCGGUUGAUCCCGCGGACUGACUGCUAUCGGAUUGAUACUAAGCCAUGCGAGUCUUUGUAGCAAUACAAGGCAGACGGCUCAGUAACACGUAGUCAAUCUAACCUAUGGACGAGGAUAACCUCGGGAAACUGAGAAUAAUACUCGAUAGACCAUAAUGCCUGGAACGGUUUAUGGUUCAAAUGAAUUUCGCCAUAGGGUGGGACUGCGGUCUAUCAGCUUGUUGGUGAGGUAAUGGCCCACCAAGGCUAUAGCAGAUACGGGCUCUGAGAGGAGAAGCCCGGAGAUGGGUACUGAGACACGGACCCAGGCCCUAUGGGGCGCAGCAGGCGAGAAAACUUUGCAAUGUGCGAAAGCACGACAAGGUUAAUCCGAGUGGUUCCUGCUAAAGGAACCUUUUGUUAGUUGUAACACCACUGAUGAAUAAGGGGUGGGCAAGUUCUGGUGUCAGCCGCCGCGGUAAAACCAGCACCUCAAGUGGUCAGGAGGAUUAUUGGGCCUAAAGCAUCCGUAGCCGGCUCUGUAAGUUUUCGGUUAAAUCUAUAUGCUCAACAUAUGGGCUGCCGGGAAUACUGCAAAGCUAGGAAGUGGGAGAGGUAGACGGUACUCCGUAGGAAGGGGUAAAAUCCUUUGAUCUAUGGAUGACCACCUGUGGCGAAGGCGGUCUACCAGAACACGUUCGACGGUGAGGGAUGAAAGCCGGGGGAGCAAACCGGAUUAGAUACCCGGGUAGUCCCAGCUGUAAACUAUGCAAACUCAGUGAUGCAUUGGCUUGUGGCCAGUGCAGUGCCGCAGGGAAGCCGUUAAGUUUGCCGCCUGGGAAGUACGUACGCAAGUAUGAAACUUAAAGGAAUUGGCGGGGGAGCACCACAAGGGGUGAAGCCUGCGGUUCAAUUGGAUUCAACGCCGG